rnacentral:lncRNA from 1 species
GAAAAUCUACUUGGGCUCACUUCCUAGGUGAAAGGCAGCAGGACACCCAGUUAGGAGCAAGAUCCCAGCAGUGAGGCCCUGCUCCCUGACUGCUUGCCCACAGUGACAUCAGGAGAGAGGCCUCUGGGAUGUCACCUGCUCUGAAAGCCAAUCUGCGUCUGAAUGCUGCUUGCCCAAGCGAGGAUGCCAUGGCCAUACAGUUUCAGGUUCCAGGCAUGAAGCAUGUGCUGUCCUGGGCCCUGAAUAUCAAGCCAGGUAGAGGAACCCCAUCCUUCUGUUGUCAUUUCAAGCCAGAGGCUCAAGCCAGGAGUGAGGAUCAAGAUCAAGAACUCAAAGCUGUUUAGAGGAAGAAGCCAAGUUCAAGGAGGAGUGAGGAAGGCUUGAGGCGAAAGCUUUUGGAAGCUCAGGCAGCUUGGAGGAGUUCGUGGAUUAGAGAAUGUUGAAGUUGGAGAACUACAGCGGGGUCUAAAAAAUCUUCCAGAAUCAAGACGGUGCCUGACGCCCUACCUAGCCCCUCUCCAGCACCGGAGCCCCGGGCCCUUGGCAAUCAUGUCUGCGCAGCUUGGGCCCCAUAUCCAACAGGGGAGCACGCCCCAAUUUACUCUCACCCCACCAGUCGAAUGGAGGGCAGGUGACCUGCCAGUUCUCGAAAGAAGCCAGAUGACUGACUUUGGUCGCCUCAUCACAGGUUAAUUCAUAAGAAGAGCUUGGAACAGCGCCCGGCAGAGUCUCAGCGCGCCCAAAGUGUGUGCGGGUAUGAUUACCAUCGCCAGCAGCUGAGCUGGGAAAAGGCUCUGACUAGAUAAUUUUGGCAAUAACUCGACAAACUAUCGAAUGUGGACAGUGAGACGCAUUCCAACGUUUCUAAAAAGCUCCCGUUGUGACACCCUCUGUGUCCUCCCCAGGCCCGGCGGCCUCCGGGCCAGGGACACCCGACCUCGCGUGGUCCGGGCUACCCAAGGACCUCCCGAGGCGUGGCGGAGACUUGGCGGCUGAGUGCAGGCCGGGCUGCCGCCCAGCAGGACCUGAGCGAGGCCUGCGGCCGGGG